rnacentral:rRNA from 1 species
UACGGAAGGCAGCAGUGGGGAAUAUUGCACAAUGGGCGAAAGCCUGAUGCAGCUAUGCCGCGUGUAUGAAGAAGGCCUUAGGGUUGUAAAGUACUUUUCAUCGGGGAGGAAAAAACAAAACUAAUAAUUUUAUUUCUUGACGUUACCCGAAAAAGAAGCACCGGCUAACUCCGUGCCAGCAGCCGCGGUAAUACGGAGGGUGCUAGCGUUAAUCAGAAUUACUGGGCGUAAAGAGCACGUAGGUGGUUUUUUUAAAGUCAGAUGUGAAAUCCCUGGGCUUAACCUAGGAACUGCAUUUUGAAACUGAAAUACUAGAGUAUCGUAGAGGGAGGUAGAAUUCUAGGUGUAGCGGUGAAAUGCGUAGAUAUCUGGAGGAAUACCUGUGGCGAAAGCGGCCUCCUAAACGAAUACUGACACUGAGGUGCGAAAGCGUGGGGAGCAAACAGGGAUUAGAUACC